rnacentral:rRNA from 1 species
AUUGAACGCUGGCGGCAUGCUUUACACAUGCAAGUCGAACGGCAGCGCGGGCUUCGGCCUGGCGGCGAGUGGCGAACGGGUGAGUAAUACAUCGGAACGUGCCCAGUAGUGGGGGAUAGCUCGGCGAAAGCCGGAUUAAUACCGCAUACGACCUGAGGGUGAAAGCGGGGGAUCUUCGGACCUCGCGCUAUUGGAGCGGCCGAUGGCAGAUUAGCUAGUUGGUGGGGUAAAGGCCUACCAAGGCGACGAUCUGUAGCUGGUCUGAGAGGACGACCAGCCACACUGGGACUGAGACACGGCCCAGACUCCUACGGGAGGCAGCAGUGGGGAAUUUUGGACAAUGGGCGAAAGCCUGAUCCAGCAAUGCCGCGUGUGUGAUGAAGGCCUUCGGGUUGUAAAGCACUUUUGGCGGGAACGAAAAGGACUGUGCAAAUACCACGGUUCGAUGACGGUACCCGCAGAAUAAGCACCGGCUAACUACGUG